CAGUCGCCGCGGUAAAACGGAGGGAGCUAGCGUUAUUCGGAAUUACUGGGCGUAAAGCGCACGCAGGCGGUUUGUUAAGUCAGAUGUGAAAUCCCCGAGCUUAACUUGGGAACUGCAUUUGAAACUGGCAAGCUAGAGUCUUGUAGAGGGGGGUGGAAUUCCAGGUGUAGCGGUGAAAUGCGUAGAGAUCUGGAGGAAUACCGGUGGUGAAGGCGGCCCCCUGGACAAAGACUGACGCUCAGGUGCGAAAGCGUGGGGAGCAAACAGGAUUAGAUACCCCGGUAGUCCCUGUCUCUUAUAC
rnacentral:rRNA from 1 species